rnacentral:tRNA from 1 species
GGGGCCUGUAGCGCAGAGGUAGUCGCGCCGCCUUAUCAGGGCGGAGGAUACCGGUUCGAGUCCGGUCGGGCCCCACC